rnacentral:lncRNA from 1 species
ACUAAGUCUACAGGGGUAAGCAAGAAAUAGUAAGGAAAGCUGGAACAUAUCUACAGCUAUCUGCCUCUAUACUAUCAUUCUCUGAUCUAACCAACUGUAGAACAUUGUCAACUCAGACCCAAUCUCGAAUAGGGACUGUAAUCAUACCCGUCCCUAGGACUGUGAACACAUCCGUCCCGCCAGAUUGCAACUAACCAGCUACCUCCACACUAACAAGCCCGUGGAGAGCAAGUCCAACCUACACGAACGACACCAA